rnacentral:rRNA from 1 species
GAUGAACGCUGGCGGCGUGCCUAAUACAUGCAAGUCGGACGGAGUAUUAGCAAUAAUACUUAGUGGCGAACGGGUGAGUAACGCGUUGGUGACCUGCCCCGAAGAGAGGGAUAACAGUUCGAAAGGACUGCUAAUACCGCAUAAUAUCUCUGGAGUUAGAGUAAGGAGAUGAAAGGAGCAAUCCACUUUGGGAGGGGCCUGCGUCCCAUCAGCUAGUUGGUAAGGUAAGAGCCUACCAAGGCGAAGACGGGUAGGGGACCUGAGAGGGUGAUCCCCCACACUGGCACUGAAACACGGGCCAGACACCUACGGGAGGCUG